GCUGCGGUAGCCAAGCCAGGUAAGGCGACGGCUUGCUAAGCCGUUUCCCCUUUGGGGAUCGUGGGUUCAAGUCCCACCCGCAGCG
rnacentral:tRNA from 1 species